rnacentral:rRNA from 1 species
AACUCCUACGGGAGGCAGCAGUGGGGAAUAUUGGACAAUGGGCGCAAGCCUGAUCCAGCAAUGCCGCGUGAGUGAUGAAGGCCUUAGGGUUGUAAAGCUCUUUCGCACGCGACGAUGAUGACGGUAG